rnacentral:rRNA from 1 species
AUUGAACGCUGGCGGCAUGCUUUACACAUGCAAGUCGGACGAGUGGCGAACGGGUGAGUAAUAUAUUGGAACGUACCCAGUAAUGGGGGAUAACCAAUCGAAAGAUUGGCUAAUACCGCAUAUUAUUCGAGCGGCCCAUAUCGUAUUAGCUAGUUGGUGGGGUAAAGGCCUACCCAGGCGAAGACCAGUAGCGGGUCUGAGAGGAUGAUCAGCCAAACUGGGACUGAGACACGGCCCAGACUCCUACGGGCGGCAGCAGUGGGGAAUUUUGGACAAUGGGAGCAAGCCUGAUGCAGCCAUGCCGCGUGUCUGAAGAAGGCCUUAGGGUUGUAAAGCACUUUUGUUAGGGAGGCGGUACCUAAAGAAGAAGCACCGGCUAACUACGUGCCAGCAGCCGCGGUAAUUC